CACUUAUAUAAUUUUAUAUUUUUUAAAUUAUGACCGGGUCAACCGAGUGAAUCAGUGAUCCACCGGUUGAACCAGUGACCCAGUGAUCCGGUCAUAUGACCGGGUGGAUUGCCAGUUCGGUUCUGAUAACUAUGAGUUAGUCUUUAGUUCAA